rnacentral:rRNA from 1 species
UACGAGGGGGGCAAGCGUUGUUCGGAAUUAUUGGGCGUAAAGGGUGCGUAGGCGGUUUGAUAAGUCGGGUGUGAAAUCUCUGGGCUCAACUCAGGGGCUGCACUCGAAACUGUCGGGCUUGAGAGUGGGAGAGGUGAGUGGAAUUUCCGGUGUAGCGGUGAAAUGCGUAGAUAUCGGAAGGAACACCUGUGGCGAAAGCGGCUCACUGGACCAUUUCUGACGCUGAUGCACGAAAGCUAGGGGAGCAAACAGG